rnacentral:rRNA from 1 species
GAUAAACGCUGGCGGCGCACAUAAGACAUGCAAGUCGAACGGACUUAACUCAUUCUUUUAGAUUGAGAGCGGUUAGUGGCGGACUGGUGAGUAACACGUAAGCAACCUGCCUAUCAGAGGGGAAUAACAACGAGAAAUCGUUGCUAAUACCGCAUAAGCUAGUAGCAUCGCAUGAUGCAGCUAGAAAGGAGCAAUCCGCUGAUAGAUGGGCUUGCGUCUGAUUAGCUAGUUGGUGGGGUAACGGCCUACCAAGGCGACGAUCAGUAGCCGGACUGAGAGGUUGAACGGCCACAUUGGGACUGAGACACGGCCCAG